GUGAGUUUUAUUCGGUAUUGAAAACACCGUUUCCCACCCGCGUGUAGCUGCUCUUGUGCACCACAGCAUGUAAAAGAAUAAAUCGGAAAGCGUCCUUAAAUGCGACAAACUAAGUGAAAAACCUUUUUACACAUGCUUUAAAAUAAAAGCGUCGCUAAGGUUAUAUACUUUUUUCCUCCUUGCCUUUUCAAUCUCUCGCAUAUGCAUCAGAUAUCUACUUUAAUGCAGCGAGACUAGUGGGUGAGCUGCGGGGUGGACGGCUCCGUGGGCCGGUCCUAACCCCACCCAGAGCUCAUUGGAACGUUCCCCGAUCCAGCCACGUUGAUCACCCGCACCUGACAGUCAUCUGCAAUCAGGAUCACCAGGAUAUCUACCCCAGCCUUCCAACCAUUCGUCGCCAGAUCGUCAGUUGUACUUAUCCUUCACCAUCACAACCAUACCACAACCCUGCUUUACUGCCGGAUUACCAUCUCCGUCGAAUCGUUGUGCGUGACUGUCGGUUCGCCUGCCAGCCGACCCAUCCAACCCCGAUUCGGACCCCCCGGCCCGUGGUUUCAGGAUUACCCCUAACGGACGCAACCUUCUGCACUAACCUUCAUCCACCGUGGACUAAAAAACUGUUCUACUGAUUCCGCUCUCGUCUGUGGUCCUUUGUGCCGUGCGUUUGGGUCCACCCUGUCUUGAGCCGUAACAGAGGGAACUAUAAGGCCUGUUGGAGGGCAGGGGUCUGCCGCCCGAUUCCU
ensembl:lncRNA